UUUAAAGGGCCUGGGGAUUUAGAGGCCCCGCCCCUCCUAAGGACUCUGGAGUACCGACUUCAUCGGGAGGUUUGCCUGAAUAAGUGCAAAGCAUGUUCCUCUCCGGGAGCUGGGCCACCCGCAGAAGAAAAACGUAUGAUUAGUGCUGGCUAAUGGAGUUACUUGUUCACCUCAAGAGAUGGAGCGGGCUGUACUAUAGAAAUGAAGAGGCAUCAGCUUCUUCCAAAACUGAAACUCUGGGGAGGAGAAGAUGCUAGAGGGGGGAAUAACGACCGCUGCCCCCAUCACCGCCUAGUAACUUUGCUGUGACUAAAAAGAUCCACUGAGAGAGAACCCUGAUUUCUGUUCAGCUCAGUGAGUGAAUCCUAAAAAACAUCAAAAUCAGGAGCUAAAAGCUCCUGAAAAAAUGGGGUCA